rnacentral:rRNA from 1 species
GACGAACACUGGCGGCGUGCUUAACACAUGCAAGUCGAACGGAAAGGCCCUGCUUUUGUGGGGUGCUCGAGUGGCGAACGGGUGAGUAACACGUGAGUAACCUGCCCUUGACUUUGGGAUAACUUCAGGAAACUGGGGCUAAUACCGGAUAGGAGCUCCUGCUGCAUGGUGGGGGUUGGAAAGUUUCGGCGGUUGGGGAUGGACUCGCGGCUUAUCAGCUUGUUGGUGGGGUAGUGGCUUACCAAGGCUUUGACGGGUAGCCGGCCUGAGAGGGUGACCGGCCACAUUGGGACUGAGAUACGGCCCGGACUCCUACGGGAGGCAGCAGUGGGGAAUAUUGCACAAUGGGCGGAAGCCUGAUGCAGCAACGCCGCGUGCGGGAUGACGGCCUUCGGGUUGUAAACCGCUUUCGCCUGUGACGAAGCGUGAGUGACGGUAAUGGGUAAAGAAGCACCGGCUAACUACGUG